ensembl:snRNA U6 U6 spliceosomal RNA
AUGCUCACUUCGGCAGCAUGUAGAUACUGAAAUUGGAAUGAUAUUGAGAAGAUUAGCAUGGCUACUGCACAAGGAUGACAUGCAAAUUUGUGAAGCAUUCCAUAUUUUU